GACGAACGCUGGCGGCGUGCCUAAUACAUGCAAGUAGAACGCUGAAGGAGGAGCUUGCUUCUCUGGAUGAGUUGCGAACGGGUGAGUAACGCGUAGGUAACCUGCCUGGUAGCGGGGGAUAACUAUUGGAAACGAUAGCUAAUACCGCGUAAGAGUAGAUGUCGCAUGACAUUUGCUUAAAAGGUGCAAUUGCAUCACUACCAGAUGGACCUGCGUUGUAUUAGCUAGUUGGUGAGGUAACGGCUCACCAAGGCAACGAUACAUAGCCGACCUGAGAGGGUGAUCGGCCACACUGGGACUGAGACACGGCCCAGACUCCUACGGGAGGCAGCAGUAGGGAAUCUUCGGCAAUGGACGGAAGUCUGACCGAGCAACGCCGCGUGAGUGAAGAAGGUUUUCGGAUCGUAAAGCUCUGUUGUAAGAGAAGAACGAGUGUGAGAGUGGAAAGUUCACACUGUGACGGUAUCUUACCAGAAAGGGACGGCUAACUACGUG
rnacentral:rRNA from 1 species